rnacentral:misc_RNA from 1 species
GAUGAAGAACGUAGCGAAAUGCGAUAAGUAGUGUGAAUUGCAGAAUUCAGUGAAUCAUCGAAUCUUUGAACGCACAUUGCGCCCUUUGGUAUUCCUUAGGGCAUGCCUGUUCGAGCGUCAUUUAAACCUUCAAGCUAAGCUUGGUGUUGGGUGACUGUCCGCUUUACGGCGGACUCGCCUCAAAAUUAUUGGCGGCCGGUACAUUGGCUUCGAGCGCAGCAGAAACGCGAACUCGGGCCCGUCGUAUUGGCUCCCAGAAGCUAUCUUCACAAUUUUGACCUCGGAUCAGGUAGGGAUACCCGCUGAACUUAAGCAUAUCAAUAAGCGGAGGA